GGUAACAUCAAAUCGUACCCCAAACCGACACAGGUGGUCAGGUAGAGAAUACCAAGGCGCUUGAGAGAACUCGGGUGAAGGAACUAGGCAAAAUGGUGCCGUAACUUCGGGAGAAGGCACGCUGACAUGUAGGUGAAGUGAUUUACUCACGGAGCUGAAGUCAGUCGAAGAUACCAGCUGGCUGCAACUGUUUAUUAAAAACACAGCACUGUGCAAACACGAAAGUGGACGUAUACGGUGUGACGCCUGCCCGGUGCCGGAAGGUUAAUUGAUGGGG
rnacentral:rRNA from 3 species